GACGAACGCUGGCGGCGUGCUUAACACAUGCAAGUCGAACGGAAAGGCCCUGCUUUUGUGGGGUGCUCGAGUGGCGAACGGGUGAGUAACACGUGAGUAACCUGCCCUUGACUUUGGGAUAACUUCAGGAAACUGGGGCUAAUACCGGAUAGGAGCUCUUGCUGCAUGGUGGGGGUUGGUAAGUUUCGGCGGUUGGGGAUGGACUCGCGGCUUAUCAGCUUGUUGGUGGGGUAGUGGCUUACCAAGGCUUUGACGGGUAGCCGGCCUGCGAGGGUGACCGGCCACAUUAGGACUGAGAUACGGCCCAGACUCCUACGGGAGGCAGCAGUGGGGAAUAUUGCACAAUGGGCGGAAGCCUGAUGCAGCAAUGCCGCGUGCGGGAUGACGGCCUUCGGGUUGUAAACCGCAUUCGCCUGUGACGAAGCGUGAGUGACGGUAAUGGGUAAAGAAGCACCGGCUAACUACGUG
rnacentral:rRNA from 1 species